AGCAGCCGCGGUAAUUCCAGCUCCAAUAGCGUAUAUUAAAGUUGUUGCAGUUAAAAAGCUCGUAGUUGAAUUUCGGGAUUGGCGUGUCGGUCGUGCCUUAAGGGGUAUGAACUGGCGUCGUCGAUUUCUCACCUUCUGGAGAAACUCGAUGCCCUUAAUUGGGUGUCGUGCGGAACCAGGACCUUUACCUUGAAAAAAUUAGAGUGUUUAAAGCAGGCAUUUUUGCUCGAAUACAUUAGCAUGGAAUAAUAAAAUAGGACGGUUGGUUCUAUUUUGUUGGUUUCUAGGAUCACCGUAAUGAUUAAUAGGGAUAGUUGGG
rnacentral:rRNA from 1 species